GACGAACGCUGGCGGCGUGCUUAACACAUGCAAGUCGAACGGAAAGGCCCCUUUGGGGGUCCUCGAGUGGCGAACGGGUGGGUAACACGUGAGUAACCUGCCCUUGACUUCGGGAUAACUUCAGGAAACUGGGGCUAAUACCGGAUAGGAAUCCUUGCUGCAUGGUGGGGGUUGGAAAGCUUCGGCGGUUUUGGAUGGACUCGCGGCUUAUCAGCUUGUUGGUGGGGUAGUGGCUUACCAAGGCUUUGACGGGUAGCCGGCCUGAGAGGGCGACCGGCCACAUUGGGACUGAGAUACGGCCCAGACUCCUACGGGAGGCAGCAGUGGGGAAUAUUGCACAAUGGGCGGAAGCCUGAUGCAGCAACGCCGCGUGCGGGAUGACGGCCUUCGGGUUGUAAACCGCUUUCAGCAGGGGCGAAGCUUGUGGUGACGGUACCUGCAGAAGAAGCACCGGCUAACUACGUG
rnacentral:rRNA from 1 species